GGCUAUGGGGACAUUUUGGCAGUGACAUCUGUUCCAGGGUUAAUUUGGCUGAUCUGACUGCUAGGCACCUGUGCCCUUCCUCACUACCCCAUGUGUCUGCUUUUCUUCCUCUUGGAGCUGAGGCCUGUCAGAGAGGAAGAUCUUCCAGAAGAGAGGACGACCUGUCUUCUGUCAAGGUUACAGAAGCAGCUGCUAGAACUUCUAAACACUCUCUUAAGAUGAGAAAACUAGAGCUAGUUAUUAAUAGAAUUUGUCCAUUAUCUUUACUUUGUUGUGUGCCAGUGGCAGACGUAGUUGAAU
rnacentral:snRNA from 1 species